rnacentral:rRNA from 1 species
GACGUAGGGGGCCAGCGUUGUUCGGAAUUACUGGGUGUAAAGGGUUCGUAGGCGGUGUGGCAAGUCGGGAGUGAAAUCUCUGGGCUCAACUCAGAGACUGCUUCCGAAACUGCUGUGCUGGAGUGUGGGAGAGGCGCGUGGAAUUGCAGGUGUAGCGGUGAAAUGCGUAGAUAUCGUAAGGAAGACCAGUGGCGAAGGCGGGUCUCUGGACAGUUCCUGACGCUGAGGCACGAAGGUCAGGGGAGCAAACGGG